rnacentral:misc_RNA from 1 species
UCCAUCCUGGGACCAGCCAACGC